rnacentral:rRNA from 1 species
UUAAGUUAUUAAGGGCGCACGGUGGAUGCCUUGGCACUAGAAGCCGAUGAAGGACGUUACUAACGACGAUAUGCUUUGGGGAGCUGUAAGUAAGCUUUGAUCCAGAGAUUUCCGAAUGGGGAAACCCAGCAUGAGUUAUGUCAUGUUAUCGAUAUGUGAAUACAUAGCAUAUCAGAAGGCACACCCGGAGAACUGAAACAUCUUAGUACCCGGAGGAAGAAAAAGAAAAUUCGAUUCCCUUAGUAGCGGCGAGCGAAACGGGAAGAGCCCAAACCAACAAGCUUGCUUGUUGGGGUUGUAGGACACUCUAUACGGAGUUACAAAGGACGACAUUAGACGAAUCAUCUGGAAAGAUGAAUCAAAGAAGGUAAUAAUCCUGUAGUCGAAAAUGUUGUCUCUCUUGAGUGGAUCCUGAGUACGACGGAACACGUGAAAUUCCGUCGGAAUCUGGGAGGACCAUCUCCUAAGGCUAAAUACUCUCUAGUGACCGAUAGUGAACCAGUACCGUGAGGGAAAGGUGAAAAGCACCCCGGAAGGGGAGUGAAAUAGAACCUGAAACCGUGUGCUUACAAGUAGUCAGAGCCCGUUAAUGGGUGAUGGCGUGCCUUUUGUAGAAUGAACCGGCGAGUUACGAUUUGAUGCAAGGUUAAGCAGUAAAUGUGGAGCCGUAGCGAAAGCGAGUCUGAAUAGGGCGUUUAGUAUUUGGUCGUAGACCCGAAACCAGGUGAUCUACCCUUGGUCAGGUUGAAGUUCAGGUAACACUGAAUGGAGGACCGAACCGACUUACGUUGAAAAGUGAGCGGAUGAACUGAGGGUAGCGGAGAAAUUCCAAUCGAACCUGGAGAUAGCUGGUUCUCUCCGAAAUAGCUUUAGGGCUAGCCUCAAGUGAUGAUUAUUGGAGGUAGAGCACUGUUUGGACGAGGGGCCCCUCUCGGGUUACCGAAUUCAGACAAACUCCGAAUGCCAAUUAAUUUAACUUGGGAGUCAGAACAUGGGUGAUAAGGUCCGUGUUCGAAAGGGAAACAGCCCAGACCACCAGCUAAGGUCCCAAAAUAUAUGUUAAGUGGAAAAGGAUGUGGCGUUGCCCAGACAACUAGGAUGUUGGCUUAGAAGCAGCCAUCAUUUAAAGAGUGCGUAAUAGCUCACUAGUCGAGUGACACUGCGCCGAAAAUGUACCGGGGCUAAACAUAUUACCGAAGCUGUGGAUUGUCCUUUGGACAAUGGUAGGAGAGCGUUCUAAGGGCGUUGAAGCAUGAUCGUAAGGACAUGUGGAGCGCUUAGAAGUGAGAAUGCCGGUGUGAGUAGCGAAAGACGGGUGAGAAUCCCGUCCACCGAUUGACUAAGGUUUCCAGAGGAAGGCUCGUCCGCUCUGGGUUAGUCGGGUCCUAAGCUGAGGCCGACAGGCGUAGGCGAUGGAUAACAGGUUGAUAUUCCUGUACCACCUAUAAUCGUUUUAAUCGAUGGGGGGACGCAGUAGGAUAGGCGAAGCGUGCGAUUGGAUUGCACGUCUAAGCAGUAAGGCUGAGUAUUAGGCAAAUCCGGUACUCGUUAAGGCUGAGCUGUGAUGGGGAGAAGACAUUGUGUCUUCGAGUCGUUGAUUUCACACUGCCGAGAAAAGCCUCUAGAUAGAAAAUAGGUGCCCGUACCGCAAACCGACACAGGUAGUCAAGAUGAGAAUUCUAAGGUGAGCGAGCGAACUCUCGUUAAGGAACUCGGCAAAAUGACCCCGUAACUUCGGGAGAAGGGGUGCUCUUUAGGGUUAACGCCCAGAAGAGCCGCAGUGAAUAGGCCCAAGCGACUGUUUAUCAAAAACACAGGUCUCUGCUAAACCGUAAGGUGAUGUAUAGGGGCUGACGCCUGCCCGGUGCUGGAAGGUUAAGAGGAGUGGUUAGCUUCUGCGAAGCUACGAAUCGAAGCCCCAGUAAACGGCGGCCGUAACUAUAACGGUCCUAAGGUAGCGAAAUUCCUUGUCGGGUAAGUUCCGACCCGCACGAAAGGCGUAACGAUUUGGGCACUGUCUCAACGAGAGACUCGGUGAAAUCAUAGUACCUGUGAAGAUGCAGGUUACCCGCGACAGGACGGAAAGACCCCGUGGAGCUUUACUGUAGCCUGAUAUUGAAAUUCGGCACAGCUUGUACAGGAUAGGUAGGAGCCUUUGAAACGUGAGCGCUAGCUUACGUGGAGGCGCUGGUGGGAUACUACCCUAGCUGUGUUGGCUUUCUAACCCGCACCACUUAUCGUGGUGGGAGACAGUGUCAGGCGGGCAGUUUGACUGGGGCGGUCGCCUCCUAAAAGGUAACGGAGGCGCUCAAAGGUUCCCUCAGAAUGGUUGGAAAUCAUUCAUAGAGUGUAAAGGCAUAAGGGAGCUUGACUGCGAGACCUACAAGUCGAGCAGGGUCGAAAGACGGACUUAGUGAUCCGGUGGUUCCGCAUGGAAGGGCCAUCGCUCAACGGAUAAAAGCUACCCCGGGGAUAACAGGCUUAUCUCCCCCAAGAGUUCACAUCGACGGGGAGGUUUGGCACCUCGAUGUCGGCUCAUCGCAUCCUGGGGCUGUAGUCGGUCCCAAGGGUUGGGCUGUUCGCCCAUUAAAGCGGUACGCGAGCUGGGUUCAGAACGUCGUGAGACAGUUCGGUCCCUAUCCGUCGUGGGCGUAGGAAAUUUGAGAGGAGCUGUCCUUAGUACGAGAGGACCGGGAUGGACAUACCUCUGGUGUACCAGUUGUCGUGCCAACGGCAUAGCUGGGUAGCUAUGUGUGGACGGGAUAAGUGCUGAAAGCAUCUAAGCAUGAAGCCCCCCUCA